CCAGGGACUGACGGCCACACACCUGGGCACAGGGAGACGGCAGUGAGGGGAAGGCAUGCCUGCAUAACCAGCGUGAGGCCUAUCUGCUGUGUGCACCAGUGGUACUCACCGGACGGGUGCCAGCAACACCAUAGACCACCUGGGACCUGAUAUCAGAGCCAUUCAGGACAGGAGCCAUCUUACUGGAAAACUUCAGGCGUGAUCUGGACCACACACACACACACACACCACCAUCAUGAUUAUC